rnacentral:rRNA from 1 species
GGAGACCUCAAGUCAGGCGG